rnacentral:rRNA from 1 species
AGUGAACGUUGGCGGCGUGGAUUAGGCAUGCAAGUCGAGCGAACCGUAGCAAUACGGGGACAGCGGCGAAAGGGACAGUAAUGUGUAGGUACCUACCUCCGGGUUCGGGAUAGCUGCGGGAAACUGCAGGUAAUACCGAAUAACGUCUCCGGACCAAAGGUGUGCUUCCACCUGGAGAGGGGCCUGCAUCCUAUUAGCUUGUUGGCGGGGUAACGGCCCACCAAGGCGACGAUGGGUAGCUGGUGUGCGAGCGCGACCCGCGUCAGUGGGACGGCGGCACUGCCCAGACGCCUACGGGUGGCAGCAGUCGUGAGUCUGCGGCAAUGGGCGCAAGCCUGACCGAGCGACGCCGCGUGCGGGAUGAAGGCCUUCGGGUUGUAAACCGCUGUCGUAGAGGAGGAAAUGCAGGGGGGUUCUCCCCUCUGUUUGACCUAUUCUAGGAGGAAGUACGGGCUAAGUUCGUGCCAGCAGCCGCAGUAA